rnacentral:rRNA from 1 species
AAACUAUAUAUGAGAGUUUGAUCCUGGCUCAGGAUAAACGCUGGCGGCGUGCAUAACACAUGCAAGUCGAACGAUGAAGAUUAAAAGAUUUCUUCGGAAUGAACUUAAUUGGAUUAGUGGCGGACGGGUGAGUAACGCGUGAGUAACCUGCCUUGUACAAGGGGAUAGCCGUUGGAAACGACGAAUAAUACCCUAUAACAUCAAAUAAUCGCAUGAUAAUUUGAUCAAAGAUUUAUCGGUAUAAGAUGGACUCGCGUCUGAUUAGCUAGUUGGUGGGGUAACUGCUCACCAAGGCAACGAUCAGUAGCCGGCUUGAGAGAGUGUACGGCCACAUUGGGACUGAGACACGGCCCAGACUCCUACGGGAGGCAGCAGUGGGGAAUUUUGCACAAUGGGGGAAACCCUGAUGCAGCGACGCCGCGUGAUUUAGAAGGCCUUCGGGUUGUAAAAAUCUUUUGUAUGGGAAGAAAAUGACAGUACCAUACGAAUAAGGACCGGCUAAUUACGUGCCAGCAGCCGCGGUAAUACGUAAGGUCCGAGCGUUGUCCG